UUAUAGGUGAUUUGCCUGAAUGUAUGGCUGU
rnacentral:piRNA from 1 species